rnacentral:tRNA from 1 species
AUUCAUAUAGUUUAAAGAAAACAUUUCAUUUUCAAUGAAAAAAAGAAAACAUUUUCUAUGAAUU